rnacentral:rRNA from 1 species
GCCAGCAGCUUGCUCUCUGCGGCUCUCACAUGGUCGCCCACUAAAGCAAAGCAGGGCUGUGCCCAGUCAGUACCUGAAUGGGAGACCACAUGGGAAAGCUAGGUUGCUGCCAGAA